CAGGGGUUAAUUUGAGUGCUGGAAGUGAUCAUGAUGACCUCCCUAACAACCCAACAAACCUAUGCAUUGGUGGUAUCACUGUACUCAGGAGAUGUGGCUGAACACAUAUUGGGGUGUUCUUUGGCAGUAAAACCUAACAGGAGCUGAGAAUAAAGUACAAUGUGAGAGAAAAAUAACACAAAAAAUGACUACUCAAAAGUAUGACAAAGACUGGUGGUAGAAU